UACGUAGGGUGCAAGCGUUACUCGGAAUUACUGGGCGUAAAGCGUGCGCAGGCGGUUAUGCCCGCCAGAUGUGAAAUCCCCGGGCUCAACCUGGGAACUGCAUUUGUGACUGCAUGGCUAGAGUACGGUAGAGGGGGAUGGAAUUCCGCGUGUAGCAGUGAAAUGCGUAGAUAUGCGGAGGAACACCGAUGGCGAAGGCAAUCCCCUGGACCUGUACUGACGCUCAUGCACGAAAGCGUGGGGAGCAAACAGG
rnacentral:rRNA from 1 species